CAGCCGCCGCGGGAAAACAGAGGGUGCGAGCGUUAAUCGGAUUUACUGGGCGUAAAGCGUGCGUAGGCGGCUUCUUAAGUCGGAUGUGAAAUCCCUGAGCUUAACUUAGGAAUUGCAUUCGAUACUGGGAAGCUAGAGUAUGGGAGAGGAUGGAAGAAUUCCAGGUGUAGCGGUGAAAUGCGUAGAGAUCUGGAGGAAUACCGAUGGCGAAGGCAGCCAUCUGGCCUAAUACUGACGCUGAGGUACGAAAGCAUGGGGAGCAAACAGGAUUAGAUACCCGUGUAGUCCCUGUCUCUUAUAC
rnacentral:rRNA from 1 species